GUAGCAGGAAGUGCUUGCACUUUGCUGACGAGUGGCGGACGGGUGAGUAAUACUUAGGAACAUGCCUUUGUGUGGGGGAUAACCAUUGGAAACGAUGGCUAAUACCGCAUAAUGUCUUUGGACCAAAGAGGGCUUUCGGGCUCUCGCGCAAAGAGUGGCCUAAGUGAGAUUAGCUUGUUGGUGAGGUAAAGGCUCACCAAGGCGACGAUCUCUAGCUGUUCUGAGAGGAAGAUCAGCCACACUGGGACUGAGACACGGCCCAGACUCCUACGGGAGGCAGCAGUGGGGAAUAUUGCACAAUGGGGGCAACCCUGAUGCAGCCAUGCCGCGUGUGUGAAGAAGGCCUUCGGGUUGUAAAGCACUUUCAGUUGUGAGGAAAGGUUGGUGGUUAAUACCCAUCAGCUGUGACGUUAGCAACAGAAGAAGCACCGGCUAACUUCGUGCCAGCAGCCGCGGUAAUACGAGGGGUGCAAGCGUUAAUCGGAAUUACUGGGCGUAAAGCGUGCGUAGGUGGUUUGUUAAGCAAGAUGUGAAAGCCCCGGGCUCAACCUGGGAACUGCAUUUUGAACUGGCAAACUAGAGUAUUGUAGAGGGUAGUGGAAUUUCCAGUGUAGCGGUG
rnacentral:rRNA from 1 species